UUUAAAUGGAGAGUUUGAUCCUGGCUCAGGACGAACGCUGGCGGCGUGCCUAAUACAUGCAAGUCGAGCGAGGAGCUUUUAGCUCCUAGCGGCGAACGG
rnacentral:rRNA from 1 species